CUAAAAAAUAGUUUUCAAAUUUUCGUGAUUUUUACGAAUUUCGUCAAAAUUCUGACUUCAGACGCUCAUAAAAAAACUAUUGAGGAUUUACGCCGAACUUUUUUUUUAUUUCCACCAAAGACAACUUACGAGGAACGUUGUAGGCGUAUUACAUUCUCGAGUUAUUGGACAGAGCGAACAUUUUUUUUAUCGACAUAAAUUAUGAAAAAACUAAAAUAAUCGAACAUUUCAUAUGUAUAUGAAUACCUCGACACGAAUCUAAAAAUUUUUGAAAAUGUUACGGUUUUAAAUUCUAAUAUAAACAACCAGUUCAAAUUGCAUGUAUCUACAGACAUUGAAUUUAGAGUAACACCACCUACACGAAAAACCAAAACCGAUAUUAGGUAGGUACGUAAAAACUCACGUUUCCCUAAAUUUUUUUUUGUUUUUCCAGGCGCUUUUGGCGACCAGGCGGGCACUGUUCAUUUCGACAUGCCCUAUGCACCUACAAGAUUCACUUUCCCACAGGAAAAGAUGAAAAGCGAAGCAUUAUUUCGACUACUUAUCGUGCACACCGCCCCAAAUAAUAAAAAUGUAUUACGCAGAACGUACAUUUGCCAAUAGUUUCAAUAUAGUUCGAUUCACUCUAAUUUUUAAACUAACGAUGCUAAAUGUCAUCUGCUCAUCGUACAUUUUCUAUAUAUUAAGACGGAUACAAUAAAAUGCCCGUGUUACGUUUUAAAAUCUUGGAGCUGCAUCGUUCACGAUAUUUCGAAAAUUUAACGCCCGCGAACCUGUCUUAUCACUAUACGAACACGAAAUUGUAAUAAUGUUAUCAAAUAAAUAACAACAUCAUAUUAUUAUAUUUUCGUAUGCCGACUUUAAAUUUGAAUCACUCUCGAAUCGCGAUUAUUUGAAAUUCGAACAAAAAAUACAGACCACAGAACAGUCGUACCGAGUUCCAUUCAUACAAUUUAAUAUAAAAUCACCAUGGAUAAGUGUAUUCUUUCCAGUAAAACAUCCAAAGUAUCGCCUCGCCACAUUACGUACAUUUUCAUUUGUAAGUAUUAUUUUCUAGUUGUAGUGAUUAUAUUUCUUAAUAAUAUGGAGUCAGUCUAAUUUGCUAAUUCGUUCACAAAUAUAGAUUUCCAAAAAAUCAAUGAAAUAGAAAGAAAUAAUGGCUAAAAAUGUUCGAAUUAAAUGAUUGUCGCGAUAAUUUCUACCUGGCAUAGAAUCUGCGGUAGGUAAUCAUUUCACAAUAAUUAGUGAUGGUAAACAAUGGUCAGUAAAUUAGUAAACACGGUGUCAGAGGCUGUCUCAAAACAUAAUCCAAACCACUUGUCUGGUAUAGAGAAGUAAAAUAAAUGUUAUAGUGAUUCACGGCAAUAUUGGUACUACUCUGCGCACGACUAGUAAAUCGCAUCUAAGAGAAAAUUUUGUUUCUCCAACGAUGAGUUAGUAGUAAAUGAACAGACGAAUAUAAAGCAUUUGGAGGCCAUGAUUUUAAUUCACCCAGAAAUAAGCCUUAGAUACCCAAUAAUGUCUAAUUCACACACACUUAUCUAAGUAUAUCACUCAAGUAUCCGAUUUUAAACGUUUGCCAAGACCAAAAGUCACUUAAUAGUUUAUCGUUUUUAGUCCACACAGGGGAUUAUACUUAUAAUGUUUUUCAAAACUGAAAUAUUAUAUUAUGAUGUACCACAUACACGGAACUGGGAAGUGGAGCCAACGCAUUGACAAAUUUUCAGACGUUGACUUUCUUGGAGAUAAUUCUACCGACUCAGAUGAAGCCAUUCAAUAUUGGAGAGAAUUAUGAAACUUAAAGGUAAUACAAUUUUGCUGACCAAGAAUCCAAUUUUAACAACGCAGAGGGCCUCAACAUAUUUAAAUUGCAAAGAAACACACGACUAGUUAUUGGACAUUGGUAUCUUUUCUGAAGGGAAAGUGCAUCUAGUUGGAUGCGUUAAACAGGUUGCCAAACCCGUUCCCAUUUGCAACGAGGAGAGACAAACUUCUUUGAAAAAUGAGUGUGCUAUUACCAAAAAGCUUCAGUGGCUGUUAUUAAAAUUCUUCUACUGUCGACAAUGGACAUGCUCGAUGAAGACUUUUGAACUAUGUAUAUUCUGAUAUGGCGCUUUUGGCGACUAGGCGGGCACUGUUCAUUUCGACAUGCCCUAUGCACCUACAAGAUUCACUUUCCCACAGGAAAAGAUGAAAAGCGAAGCAUUAUUUCGACUACUUAUCGUGCACACCGCCCCAAAUAAUAAAAAUGUAUUACGCAGAACGUACAUUUGCCAAUAGUUUCAAUAUAGUUCGAUUCACUCUAAUUUUUAAACUAACGAUGCUAAAUGUCAUCUGCUCAUCGUACAUUUUCUAUAUAAGACGGAUACAAUAAAAUGCCCGUGUUACGUUUUAAAAUCUUGGAGCUGCAUCGUUCACGAUAUUUCGAAAAUUUAACGCCCGCGAACCUGUCUUAUCACUAUACGAACACGAAAUUGUAAUAAUGUUAUCAAAUAAAUAACAACAUCAUAUUAUUAUAUUUUCGUAUGCCGACUUUAAAUUUGAAUCACUCUCGAAUCGCGAUUAUUUGAAAUUCGAACAAAAAAUACAGACCACAGAACAGUCGUACCGAGUUCCAUUCAUACAAUUUAAUAUAAAAUCACCAUGGAUAAGUGUAUUCUUUCCAGUAAAACAUCCAAAGUAUCGCCUCGCCACAUUACGUACAUUUUCAUUUAUUUCCAAAAAAUCAAUGAAAUAGAAAGAAAUAAUGGCUAAAAAUGUUCGAAUUAAAUGAUUGUCGCGAUAAUUUCUACCUGGCAUAGAAUCUGCGGUAGGUAAUCAUUUCACAAUAAUUAGUGAUGGUAAACAAUGGUCAGUAAAUUAGUAAACACGGUGUCAGAGGCUGUCUCAAAACAUAAUCCAAACCACUUGUCUGGUAUAGAGAAGUAAAAUAAAUGUUAGUGAUUCACGGCAAUAUUGGUACUACUCUGCGCACGACUAGUAAAUCGCAUCUAAGAGAAAAUUUUGUUUCUCCAACGAUGAGUUAGUAGUAAAUGAACAGACGAAUAAAGCAUUUGGAGGCCAUGAUUUUAAUUCACCCAGAAAUAAGCCUUAGAUACCCAAUAAUGUCUAAUUCACACACACUUAUCUAAGUAUAUCACUCAAGUAUCCGAUUUUAAACGUUUGCCAAGACCAAAAGUCACUUAAUAGUUUAUCGUUUUUAGUCCACACAGGGGAUUAUACUUAUAAUGUUUUUCAAAACUGAAAUAUUAUAUUAUGAUGUACCACAUACACGGAACUGGGAAGUGGAGCCAAUGCAUUGACAAAUUUUCAGACGUUAACUUUCUUGGAGAUAAUUCUACCGACUCAGAUGAAGCCAUCAUACAAUAUUGGAGAGAAUUAUGAAACUUAAAGGUAAUACAAUUUUGCUGAGCAAGAAUCCAAUUUUAAUAACCCGGAGGGCUUCUACAUAUUUAAAUUGCAAAGAAACACAUAACUAGUUUGGACAUUGGUAUCUUUUCUGAAGGGAAAGUGCGUCUAGUUGGAUGCGUUAAACAGCUUGACGUUUUCAGAAAAUUUUGUUUCUCCAACGAUGAUUUAGAAGUAAAUGAACAGACGAAUAAAGAAUUUGGAGGCCAUGAUUUUAAUUCACCCAGAAAAGCCUUAGAUACCCAAUAAUGUCUAAUUCACACACACUUAUUCCACACAGGGGAUUAUACUUAUAAUGUUUUUCAAAACUGAAAUAUAUUAUGAUGUGCCACAUACACGGAACUGGGAAGUGGAGCCAAUGCAUUGACAAAUUUUCAGACGUUGACUUUCUUGGAGAUAAUUCUACCGACUCAGAUGAAGCCAUACAAUAUUGGAGAGAAUUAUGAAACUUAAAGGUAAUACAGUUUUGCUGACCAAGAAUCCAAUUUUAACACCGUAGAGGGCCUCAACAUAUUUAAAUUGCAAAGAAACACAUAACUAGUUUUGACAUUGGUAUCUUUUCUGAAGGGAAAGUGCAUCUAGUUGGAUGCGUUACACAGGUUGUCAAACCCAUUCCCAUUUGCAUCGAGGAGAGACAAACUUCUUUGAAAAAAGAGUGUGCUAUUACCAAAAAGCUUCAGUGGCUGUUAUUAAAAUUCUUCUACUGUCGACAAUGGACAUGCUCGAUGAAGACUUUUGAACUAUGUAUAUUCUGAUAUGGUACCUAUUUCCUUUGAUUUGUGUACUUAUUUUACAUAUGUUUCCCCCCGCCACCCAUCAGAAAGUAAUUAGUUAGUUUAUUUAACCAAAGAAAACUGUACCUACUCACUGUGUUUGUGAAUAAAAUUAUUUUGUCAAUGACUAAUUUAAGAAAACUUUAUUUUUAAAUUUUAUAAUAAAAAAGAAAAGUAGGUGCCUAUUUUUAAAUCUUAAUGAACUAUACCAUCAUGCUUUUCCUAUUUGUCGUAUCGAUAGUUUAUAUGUAUUUUAAAAUUUAGAAAUA
rnacentral:lncRNA from 1 species